CAUAAGAGGGGGAUAACAUCCGGAAACGGAUGCUAAUACCGCAUAUUUCCAAUUGUCUCCUGACAGAUGGAAAAAAGGUGGCUUCGGCUACCGCUUAUGGAUGGACCCGCGGCGUAUUAGCUAGUUGGUGAGGUAAUGGCUCACCAAGGCGAUGAUACGUAGCCGACCUGAGAGGGUGAUCGGCCACACUGGGACUGAGACACGGCCCAGACUCCUACGGGAGGCAGCAGUAGGGAAUCUUCCGCAAUGGACGAAAGUCUGACGGAGCAAUGCCGCGUGAGUGAAGAAGGUUUUCGGAUCGUAAAACUCUGUUGUUAGAGAAGAACAAGGAUGAGA
rnacentral:rRNA from 1 species